CCCCUCUCAGGGUCACACCUGGAGAGUUUCCAGUACUCUACCAGUAUCGGCUGUAGGAGGGAGAAUCAAGCAGAGACCUGCCCUUUCCAUUCAUAGCUUGAGCAAUGGUUAGCGAGUGGAAGGCAAUCUGCUACAGGU